CUCAGCUGAAGCCACAAGUCAGUUCAAUGUUUAAAGACGGUCAUGAGGUGUGGCACCCAUUUUAAACACAAUGGCAAUGCUUGGAAUGCAAAAGUAAGCAAGGCAGACUACUGGACACCGGGCUCUACCUGGGCCUUCCCACUGCAGAUCUGACAUCUUCAUGACUGCGAAUGAGUCAAGCUCAGCUGUUCCAUCACUGACUGCAACUUAAUGGCAGCACUUCCAAUCAGUUUACCUACAUUGCAUUUCUCACAGGUUGAGGAGGGGAGCCCAGAACAG
rnacentral:lncRNA from 1 species